rnacentral:misc_RNA from 1 species
GAUGAAGAACGUAGCGAAAUGCGAUACGUAAUGUGAAUUGCAGAAUUCAGUGAAUCAUCGAAUCUUUGAACGCAUAUUGCGCUCUCUGGUAUUCCGGAGAGCAUGCUUGUUUGAGUAUCAGUAAACACCUCAACUUCCAUAUCUUUUUUGAAAUGGGAGUUGGACUUGAGUGAUCCCAACGCUUUUCCUCACCGAAAAGUGGCGGGUUACUUGAAAUGCAGGUGCAUCUGGACUUUUCUCUGAGCUAUAAGCAUAUCUAUUUAGUCUGCCUAAAAACAGAUUAUUACCUUUGCUGCAGCUAACAUAAAGGAGAUUAGUUCUUGUGCUGACUGAUGCAGGAUUCACAAAGACAGGCUUCGGCCGACUUUGUAAACUCGAUCUCAAAUCAAGUAAGACUACCCGCUGAACUUAAGCAUAUCAAUAAGCGGAGGA